rnacentral:rRNA from 1 species
UACAGAGGUCUCAAGCGUUUGUUCGGAUUCAUUGGGCGUAAAGGGUGUGUAGGUGGCGCUGUAAGUCGGGUGUGAAAUUUCGGAGCUUAACUCCGAAACUGCAUUCGAUACUGCGGUGCUUGAGGACUGGAGAGGAGACUGGAAUUCAUGGUGUAGCAGUGAAAUGCGUAGAGAUCAUGAGGAAGACCAGUGGCGAAGGCGGGUCUCUGGACAGUUCCUGACGCUGAGGCGCGAAGGCCAGGGGAGCAAACGGG